GACGAACGCUGGCGGCGUGCCUAAUACAUGCAAGUAGAACGCUGAAGCUUGGUGCUUGCACCGAGCGGAUGAGUUGCGAACGGGUGAGUAACGCGUAGGUAACCUGCCUGGUAGCGGGGGAUAACUAUUGGAAACGAUAGCUAAUACCGCAUAAGAGUAGAUGUUGCAUGACAUUUGCUUAAAAGGUGCAAUUGCUUCACUACCAGAUGGACCUGCGUUGUAUUAGCUAGUUGGUGAGGUAACGGCUCACCAAGGCAACGAUACAUAGCCGACCUGAGAGGGUGAUCGGCCACACUGGGACUGGGACACGGCCCAGACUCCUACGGGAGGCAGCAGUAGGGAAUCUUCGGCAAUGGACGGAAGUCUUACCGAGCAACAGCACGUGAGUGAAGAAGGUUUUCGGAUCGUAAAGCUCUGUUGUAAGAGAAAAACGGGUGUGAGAAUGGAAAAUACACACUGUGACGGUAUCUUACCAGAAAGAGACGGCUAACUACGUG
rnacentral:rRNA from 1 species